UUUUUACAUUGUCAGUACGUCAUUUAAUUACAUUUCUGAGACGUCCUGAGCAGGUGAGGAAGAUGUGGUCAUGCAAUUACCUUCAGACAACGUUGCCACAAUUUUGUAAGGAGGUAAUGUCAUGACAUUACUAAUCCACUAUGUCACGGUUGGUCGUGGUUACAUAACGUGUUUGCUGGGAAUGAACAGUGAAAUUAAGAGGAUUGGAGUUUACUACAACUCUGCUUAUUUUUUUAACUCAAUUACUUCGCAAUUGUGUUUUACUGGUGGUUGUAAUCAAAGUCUAACAUUUCAGUAAAGCGUUGAGAACGCAUUCCAGCAAUUUCUAUUCAGCUCGCCAAGCCAUGGAAAUGGCUACUGAAAACGCAACAACAGUUCAAGGCAGUCCAAAUAUUGUUUUUACUACAAAUCAAGUAGAACAGUCGACACUGGUGUGCUGGGAUUAGUGGUAAAUCAGAAUAGUCUAAAAUGUAUUGAUGAAGAAUGGAGCGGGACUAAGAUGCAGCUGCAAGCUGAUACUGGACACAAAGGGAGAAACAUUGUUCAUGGACAACCUGGACAAAGCAGCAAAGAGGGACAUCAAACAGCGGACAAGGUGCAACAAGCAACAGGCUUUGGCUAGUUGGCUGAAAGAACUCUUGGUUGAAGAGAAGUUGCAGGUUGCCGGGGCAACUGAGGACAUGAUGUCUGAUAUGGAGACUGACCUCGGUGGAUUUUUGGUUUCCUCUCCUAGCUGGCGUUCUGCUGAGUUUGAGUUCAUGAUCAAAUUAGCUGACCAGCAAAGGUCACUUCAACUGCUAUUUGUUUUUAGCCUUUCUAUUGGUUCAUUGGAGUGAGGGUAGGUAUGGAAGAAGCAGACCUGGUAAAGGAACGACUCCAAGUCAUAAUGGUAAACUUGAUUUUGGCAGGUCAUCUUACAGCCAAUCAAUGUUUGAAUAAUACCUGUCAGGUCUGGGGUUAAUUCACAAUUUCGUAAUGUAAUU
ensembl:lncRNA